UUGGUGGUGACCAGCAUGCUCUUAAUGCUGAAGAAUACAAUCUUACCAGUUUCAAAAAAAAAUAAAUGUAUUUAUCUUCUAUUUUUUGGGUGGAACAUGGCAAUUGCAAAUCACACACAGGCCAUGAUAGACUUUUUGAGCUCAUUACACAACAUGUAUUGAUGCUACCUCAUGUACAUAAGUUACUAAAUAUUCUUUAAUCAUAAAGAAAAAGUAACAGCAGUUUUAUUAUUGCUAUGUCAUGUCUGAACUCCAAUCUGUUGCUUAAGUUUUCCUUAUACACUUCAUUCUUUCUAAACAUAACUUUUUACUUGUUGGAUUGGCUUACUGCAGCAUUUGCACCCAAACUGAUAACUGGGACUUGAUAUGCAAGUAUGCUAUAAGGUUUGUCAAGGCAGGAAUGAAGCUACGAAAGACUUCCUUGGACACUCGGAUGGAAUUUGCCUCAGAAAUAGGAGAUGUGGAUGCUUUGUGAAAAAUUGAGAAGAUACAAUUACAAAUCAUGAAGGAACAUACUCUUGGAAGUGGACUUUCAUGUGACAGUACCUGAUUCAAGAAGGCAAAAAUUCAUGGUUGAACUUCAAAAGCUAGUUGCGAACUGGCCUUUGGAGAGUGACAAAAGGAUGAGAGGGAGGAAGAAGGUAAGCUCUUUAUUCUUUUUAUUUUGAACAUACUAGCAUUAUUGUUUUGAUGAAUUAUUACCUUUUUUUUUAUUGGAGUUGCUCUGAAAUGAUUUAGUGCUAACGUAGGACGUUAGGAAUUUUAUUUGGUUUGUUUUUGUUUGUUCGUAUUUAUGGGUUACCCUUUGGAUCUUAGAUAGCUUCUAUAUAGUUUCCUGUUUUUUUUUCUGAUCCCAGUUGACGUACUGAUUCUGUUUUCUUCAAAACGUGGCAUGGGUGUCAUCUUGUGCUGUUAAGUGCGUAUUCAGGUGUUUGUAUAUUUUACAUCCUCUCCUCAAACCCGUUGUCUUUACACUACUACACCAGACAUUACAUCCUCUCCUCAAACCCGUUUUCUUUACACUACUGCACCAGACAUUAGAUUAUAAGAGAAGUGCUUGUAUCUUUUUAGAUCUUUUCUUAGUAGAGCCACAUAAAUAGGGAAAGUUACUGGUUGGAAUAUUAUAAAUGUAAAAUAAUUAGAAGACAGCUAACCUACAUAGAUGAAGAAUAUACAAAUACAACACUCAUAGAUAGAUUAGAACCAGGACUUCAACUUACCACUACCUCGUGGAGAUAGAGAGACUGUUUAGGAAAGACCCUCGGUUCAAGUGCAGUAAAUCCAAGUACAAAGAAGAAAACAUAACAAGUAACAACUAACAAAGGAGGCAAUGUAAAGCUUACAAGAAAGGAGCAAGAACAGCAACAACUUAGUGCGAUAAUCAAAACACAAUAAACGAAUAUGUAGUAACUUAUGCACAUGUUUCAGUCUUUGCAGCUGUGACACAACCUUUAGUGGCUUGAACGUAGCCUCAGAAUACUCACCAUUACCAGUUAGCUUUAGUGAGGAUUCUUUUGAAUC